rnacentral:rRNA from 1 species
AUUGAACGCUGGCGGCAUGCCUUACACAUGCAAGUCGAACGGUAACAGGCCGCAAGGUGCUGACGAGUGGCGAACGGGUGAGUAAUGCAUCGGAACGUGCCCAGUCGUGGGGGAUAACUGCUCGAAAGAGCAGCUAAUACCGCAUACGACCUGAGGGUGAAAGCGGGGGACCGUAAGGCCUCGCGCGAUUGGAGCGGCCGAGGUCAGAUUAGCUAGUUGGUGGGGUAAAGGCCUACCAAGGCAACGAUGUGUAGUUGGUCUGAGAGGACGAGCAGCGACAGUGGGAGUGAGAGACGGCCCAGACUCCUACGGGAGGCAGCAGUGGGGAAUUUUGGACAAUGGGCGCAAGCCUGAUCCAGCAAUGCCGCGUGCAGGAAGAAGGCCUUCGGGUUGUAAACUGCUUUUGUACGGAGCGAAAAGGCUCUCUCUAAUACAGGGGGCUCAUGACGGUACCGUAAGAAUAAGCACCGGCUAACUACGUGCCAGCCGCCGCAGUAAAAC